UUAUGGCUCAGGAUGAACGCUGGCGGCGUGCCUAACACAUGCAAGUCGAACGGAAACUAGACGCUUCGGAGACUCGGUCAAUGUUGUUUAGUCUUAGUGGCGGACGGGUGAGUAACGCGUGGAUAACCUGCCGUAUACAGGGGGAUAACAGUUAGAAAUGACUGCUAAUACCGCAUAAGCGCACGGGAUCGCAUGUUCCUGUGUGAAAAACUCCGGUGGUAUACGAUGGAUCCGCGUCUGAUUAGCUAGUUGGCGGGGUAACAGCCCACCAAGGCGACGAUCAGUAGCCGGCCUGAGAGGGUGAACGGCCACAUUGGGACUGAGACACGGCCCAAACUCCUACGGGAGGCAGCAGUGGGGGAUAUUGCACAAUGGGGGAAACCCUGAUGCAGCGAACCGCCGCGUGAGUGAAGAAGUAUUUCGGUAUGUAAAGCUCUAUCAGCAGGGAAGAUAAUGACGGUACCUGACUAAGAAGCACCGGCUAAAUACGUGCCAGCAGCUGC
rnacentral:rRNA from 1 species